AUACCCAGAUGGUCUUCAGACCCAACUUCAUACAAAACAGCAGCAUUUAAUUUUUACUUUAGAAGAGCUGAUGCUUAUAUCACUAGUGAAACUAACAUGAGAAGAGACCUUGAUUAUAUUUAUGAAAUAGGCCAACAAUAUGAAUACAGUAUAUGUUUUUUAGAUGCAAUCUAUUAUAAAAUGCAGAGAUCGUCUUCAAAUAAAGAAGCUCCUAAAGAACUAAGAAAUAAAGAAUAUGAGCCAAUCCCGUAUGCGAUGAGAAAUUGUAACACUGCUAAGGAAUUAAUUAAAAAUCUUAAUAAAAAGUUAACAUAUAGAAGACACCCGAUGCUCUUCAGUCAACUAAGGAAUGAGAAAGGCCUCAAAGAGGAAAAGCAGUGAUCAGGAGUGUAUAAAAUACCUGUUAAGAAUAAUAUAACAAGCCAGAAUGAAAUGUACAUAGGAG
rnacentral:lncRNA from 1 species